UACCAGACUCCUACGGGAGGCAGCAGUGGGGAAUAUUGGGCAAUGGAGGCAACUCUGACCCAGCAACGCCGCGUGAGCGAUGAAGGUCUUCGGAUUGUAAAGCUCUUUAAGCGGGGACGAAGAAAGUGACUGUACCCGCAGAAUAAGCCUCGGCUAACUACGUGCCAGCAGCCGCGGUAAUACGUAGGGGGCAAGCGUUAUCCGGAUUUACUGGGUGUAAAGGGAGCGUAGACGGCAGUGCAAGUCUGAAGUGAAAGCCCCGGGCUUAACCCGGGAAUUGCUUUGGAAACUGUACGGCUGGAGUGCUGGAGAGGUAAGCGGAAUUCCUAGUGUAGCGGUGAAAUGCGUAGAUAUUAGGAGGAACACCAGUGGCGAAGGCGGCUUACUGGACAGUAACUGACGUUGAGGCUCGAAAGCGUGGGGAGCAAACAGGAUUAGAUACCCCGGUAG
rnacentral:rRNA from 1 species